GCUCGCCGUAGCAGCGCGAGUAGGGGGCGGAGCCCGCCGCGUGCCCGGAAGCGCUCGAUUCCCCCCGCUGCCUUGAUGUGGCGCGUGCGGAGGGCUAGGAGCGCGCGGCUCAGGGGUGUCUCGUUGGUCGCUGGGUCCUUUUCCCCACCCAGAGCCUCCCCGGCCGCCGCCGCGAGCUGCGCGAGGCAGAACGAGAGCGAGUCCGUGAGGGUUGGCUUCGCAGCCGCCAUCUUGGCUCGGGCCUCAGACUCCGCCCCGCUUCUCGCCGCUGAUCCCAGGGAGCGGAACUGGAAGACAGGGAAAUCGUCGGGCACCGCCUCGCUGACGCUGUUUAGCGCCACCGCAGUGAUGCAAGUCGGAAGUUGUAGUUCUCGACCCCGGAAGUCUGUCCUUGCACACGAGGCGCGGCAGUACCUUAAUCGCAGCGCAUCCUGGGACGUGCGGGCGGUGCAUGAGGGAGAUGUGGUCCGCGUCGAGCUUCUCACGCCUACCUCGGGAAGCGCUGGAAACUCUUCCAGGGCCCUCCAGGUGGGCCAGGGCCUCCGAACAGCCCAGAAGUCCGACCACGGAGCCUUCGUGCCGUGCCCCGCCCCCGGCGUGCACUCGGCGGGGACCGCCUUUUCUCCUCUAGGCUCGCUUCGCUGCCCCCCAGCGGUGGUGCGGCCCGGCCUUGGGACGGACUCCGAGAACCCCGAGCCGGGCCGAAAGUGCGGGGUCCUGACCGCGCCGCAGACGGGGAGCCCUCGCUCGGUCAGAGGAAGAAGAGGGUUAAACCUACCGAGAACGUUCGCUGCCGCUUCCUAGAGUGACGGGCUUGUGGAAUUUUCCGUUUCCGGAGCUGGACCCCGGUGUCCCGAGUGUCCUCCGCUCUGGACGUGCUCGUGAGCUCAGGAGCUGGCAUCUAGGAAACGGGGAGUUCUUCACUCGCAGCGCAGUCGGCCGCGCCAGAAGAGGCGAGGGAGAAUCCGGACGGGGCGGGGCGGCGGGGGAGCGGGACAUUCGCGUCCCGGGGAGCCCCCAGGUCACCCCUGGAUUGCGAGGUGGCUCCGCCUGAGCAGCCCUUCCUGGUGUGGUCGGGGCAGCUGCCCGCCCGGAAAAUGGUCAGGCUCUAGCCCUGGGGAGGAAGAAGCCUUUGCCAAGAGCAACCGUCUACAAGCCCCAAAACCUGCGAGUGCCGGAAAUGUGGACUGACCACAGCCUGCCUCCCCGGCUUCAUUCACCACCAAGGCAGCCCCUCUGGUGACAAGCCUUACCGUUGUCCGGGUUAUGGCAGAAGCUUCCGAUGUGGCUCUGAUCUGGUUAAGCACCACUGGGUACACACCGGUGAAAAGCCGUACUCCUGCCCCGAGUGUGACCAUCGCUUCGGCCCUAUGCCUGUGCCUAGUGUGGUAAGACUUUCAGCGUCAGCUCCAACCUGAUCCAGCACCAGCGCGCUCACACCGCUAAAAGCCUUACCGCUGAGGGGACUGCGGCAAGAGUCUCAGCCUUGGCUCCACCCUGUUGCAGCACCUGCGCUCCACAUGGGUGAGAAGGCCUCUAAGUGCCUUGUUUGUAGUAAGAGUUUUGUGCACAGUUGGAAUCUGCUGCGGCACCAGCACAGUCACAAAGUCCGGAAACCUGAUGCUUGGUGGUGAGUGUGGCCAGACCUUCGGCCACAGCUCCCACCUGCCCAUCCACUAGGCGGCCCACAGCAGCACCCCUGCGUCUGCCUGCAGUGUGGCAGGGCCCUAGCGCAAAGCUCCAACCUGGGCCAGCACCAGCGGACGCACUAGGGCGGCAGCCUCUGCAAAUAGCCCUGGCUUCAAUUUUAGCUGAAACUUCAGCUCUGACUUUGGUUCGGACUUCAAGGAAAUGGAAGGAACCAGGAUCUCUAAGCAGACCCCCUUCUGCUCCCUUAGGGCUGUUGAUUUUAGAGCUAAUGAUGGGAUUCGGUUGGGGCGAGGGGGUCUCCACAUCUUUUUGCCCAACCCUUUGCUAAGUCAAGGAACCCCAGUCUGGGCUGGGCAUGGUGGCUCAUGCCUGUAAUCCCAGCACUUUGGGAGGCCAAGGUUAGCGGAUCACUGGAGGCCAGGAGUUCGAGACCAGCCUGGCCAACAUAUUGAAACCCUGUCUCUACUAAAAAAAAAAUGCUAGGCGUGUUGGCUCUCGCCUGUAAUCCCAGCUACUCGGGAGGCUGAGGCAGGAGACUCACUUGAACCCCGGGAGGCGGAGGCUGCAGUGAGCGAAGAUCGUGCCACUGCACUCCAGCCUGGGCGACAGAGAGUGUCUCAAAAAAAUAACAAAUUUAAAAAUUGUUUUUAACAAAGGAGCCCCAGUCUGGAAGAAUCAGAACACUAGAUCUGUGAUCACUGCCUUCAAAGAGCCCAGUCAGCUGAGAGGGCUUAGGUUUGUUCUUUGAAGUUACAAAGACAGAACGUCGACCAGCUGAAGGGAGAGUUUUGGAAUGGCGGGAGCUAUCCAGCGUGGACCCAGCUGCCUGCAGAUCUGGCAGUAGCUGACACAGUCCCUUCACAGGCCUAGGGAGUGAUGGGGUUAAUCACACCUAGAACAACAGCUACCUCUUCCCAGAGGAAUGGGACCAGAAAUCAGGCAAGCCCCUGUGAGGAGUUCCAUGGCAGCGCGCAGGCGGGGCAUUCCUAACCUCCAGAGGGAACCAUGAGGGAUCCUGUGUUCUGGCAGAUGGGCCAGAGAAUUUGAACUUGGGACCAUUGUGUGAGCCCUGGGUGUGUGAGCCCUUCAAAAGUCCUCUCAGCACGUGAGAACUAUCAUUAUGGAUGAUGCUAGGGUGGUGGGGGCCCCAGAACAGACCUGUAUGUUGAGUUCAGGGGUUGCUUUGUUGCAUUUCUGGGCAGGGGCAAGAGGCCCAGGGUUUGUCAUCUGCCCCUUCCCCUGCCUUAUCCCCUUCCCUUCCAAGUUCCCCAGGCUCCUUUUCUGCCAGUCUGUCAAGAGAGGGAAGAGUGGCGAAGAGUCCUUUGUGCCUGGACAUUGGGGACUGAACAUGGCCCUUUUGCCUGGGCAUUGCCCAAACAUAUAUUUCUACUGGC
rnacentral:lncRNA from 1 species